rnacentral:lncRNA from 1 species
AUGGAGAGGUUUCUGCUGUGCGCCCUGGUUUUCCUGCGCUCUUUGGACGCCGCGGUUGCGAGAACCGCGAAUACGCCGGGACACCGAGCGUGGAACGCCGAGUUCCAGCCCAGCCUCGACGCCUCGCGGUGUCCCCAAGAGGAGCCCCACCAGCACGGGCUCCGCGAUGGUCCAGGCGAGGGGAACACUUGCCGCCCAGCCGCCGCCGCGGCUUCCCUGUCGGCCCAGCCCGGCGUGGCUCUGGCCCGGUGGUCCACCGAGGGCUGGCCGGAGGCAAACGCCAGCCGCCCUGAGGGAGGGGAAACGGACGACCCCGCCGCGAUCGAAAACAGCGAAACGGCGUACUGGGGCUACAUGUUUCUUUUCGUCCUGCUACUUCUGGCUGUGCUUGCUUGUUGCUUCUUCUCCUUGGCGUCUCGGAAUCCGGCGUCAUGGCCAGCCGGCCAGAGGCCUGAAGAAUAUCUUCUGAGGAAGUACACCCGUCUCCACCGUCCACGAGACUACGGCACACUCCCAAACACAGCCCCACAGUCUGCAGACGGCCAGGACUCUGACACCGUGGGGGAAAACCCCCCACUCCUUGCGCCUGCUGCCGGUCAAGAGGACGCGUUGCCUUCAGCUGGCUUGGGGGAGAGGACGGAGCCGAAGUCUGUGCCAGACACCACUGUGGAAAUCGAAGGCUCUACCUAGAGAGUGGAAGACCCAACGUGGUGCAUUUAUCCAAAAAGGACGCCCUAUUCUGGCUAAAUUCAGGUUUCUUUUUAGGAUCAAGGAAGCAAACCACUGCUAUAGGACUGUGCUUUUAAUCACACAUAUUGACUCAAGCUGACUGUUCUUUUAAAUGUUGUGACAUACUUUUCCAGAAAUGGACUGAGCAAACAAGAUGUAAAUAUUUUCCCACUAUCCCUGCAUGCUGAGUGGUCAACCUGUGGCUCUCCAGGUUUGGCUGGCCUGCAGCUCCCAUCAUCCACUGGUAUGCAGCCCCAGAGUUGAUGGGAGAGGCAGUCCAGUCAUAUCCAGAGGACCCAAAUUUGCCCGCCUGUGGGUGACUCUGUGAAGCUUCUGUGGUGCCUUCUGCUCAAUGUCUUCACUUUAGAGGAGUGCUUCCCAGCCUUGGGUCACCCAGAUGUUCUUGGACUGCAGUUCCCAGAAACCUCGGCCAGACCAGCUGGUGGUGAAGGCUUCUGCGUGUCUCAGUCCAAGAACACCUGGGUGACCCAAGGUUGGGGACCCUUGCUUUAGAGGCCUUGAAGAUGAGGGUCAACCUGUCAUGUUGAUGUGGCUGGACUGGAACGGCCCCACUUCUCCCAUUUUAAGUAGUUUCAGUGAAGGAGUUGAUGUACUUUAGAUCAGCCUUUCUUUGGCCUACACUGGUAGAAAAUCUGGCUCCACAAGGGGGUGGGCCUAUGAAGUGAGGGGUAGGGCUCCUGUCCUUUUAGCAGCAGCUUAGAAGAAGACAUUCCAACAGGCCUAACUUGUAAAACAACAUCUGUUCAAUUAUGAAAGGGACAGGAGUACCACUUGCCAUUCCUGGGGCCACCCUGAUCAACCAACACCUUUUCUUGUUGGUGCCAAAAUGGCACAGCCCCUCUUCCAAGCUUGUCCAAAACCCCAGUGAUCAGACGAGGAACCAAGAUCUGUUUGCAAAGGCGUUCCACGUAGCCACAGAAUCCUGUGAGAUGGGAGAGUCAAUGUUUCCAGUCAAAACUCCACUGGGAGAGCAGCGAACCGGGGGAAACGAAGCAGAGGUCCCUGAAAUGGACUCCUUAAACAUUGCCAACGAAGACGCAGGUCAAAACGACUGUUCAGAUGUGACGUGAAAGGCUUAGGUUGACCUGGCCUUGUACCAAACCUGCCUCGAGAUGUGUGUGUAUGAGGGUGGGUGGGUAAAGUACUUUGGCUCAGCUAAUAUAUGACAGAUUCUGUUUGUCCGCCCACUCCGACUUGAGACCCACUGUCUUACCCCUGGAUAAUUGUUUGUGGUGGUUUUGAGGUCCCCACUCACAUCAGCAAGGUUGUGUACCCACUUUUGUCGAUGAAGCCAAAACAGGCAAACCGCAGGGGUCUUGCCCCUUUGGAACGGAAAUGCUCCUGCGGUGCAGGAUGCUGUUCUUAGCACAGACACAAUGACCACAGCAUGUUUUCCAAUGUGCACACCGACCUAUAAAGAUGUAUCAAUAAAGAUUCUGCUCUUGGUGAGUCGAAAUGGCUU